rnacentral:rRNA from 1 species
CCUACGGGAGGCAGCAGUGGGGAAUAUUGGACAAUGGGCGAAAGCCUGAUCCAGCCAUGCCGCGUGUGUGAAGAAGGUCUUCGGAUUGUAAAGCACUUUAAGUUGGGAGGAAGGGCAUUAACCUAAUACGUUAGUGCUUUGACGUUACCGACAGAAUAAGCACCGGCUAACUCUGUGCCAGCAGCCGCGGUAAUA